rnacentral:rRNA from 1 species
UACGGAGGAUGCAAGUGUUAUCCGGAAUCACUGGGCGUAAAGCGUCUGUAGGUGGUUUAAUAAGUCAACUGUUAAAUCUUGAGGCUCAACCUCAAAAUCGCAGUCGAAACUAUUAGGCUAGAAUAUAGUAGGGGUAAAGGGAAUUUCCAGUGGAGCGGUGAAAUGCGUAGAGAUUGGAAAGAACACCGAUGGCGAAGGCACUUUACUGGGCUAUUACUAACACUCAGAGACGAAAGCUAGGGUAGCAAAUGGG